GGAAAUGUGCCUGARCCAAAGGGCUAUUUUGAUAGAAUAGACCAUAGGAAUGCACCUCCUCAUUUCC
rnacentral:tRNA from 1 species